rnacentral:lncRNA from 1 species
GAAUACGCACACCGUAGUCCCUCUGUUUCUCUCAUUCACGUCUUCUUUCCCUCAUCACUCUCUUUACUCUCAUUUUCAAUUGGUUUCUGCAGCAACUUAUAAUCCUUGUUCCUUUCAUCUUGUUCUCAUCACCAACCUCAUCUCGUUCAUUUGCUUUGUGGCAGCGCCCGCACACAACUGUGCCUUCUUCUUUCAUGAUCCAGCCACCACCUUGGUUCUCUC